AAAAAUAUUUUAUGUUUAUAUAUUAAAAAUGGAGUUAAACCAAGUACAAAAAUGAACACAUUUACUCGUACUAGGUGCAUCAUUUGACCAAGAUGUGUUUUCACUGCUGAGAUGAUUCUGGUCACAGGUGAUGGAGCAACUUGGAGACGCUCGCAUUGACAGGCAGGAGAACAGCCGUCAGCAGCAGAAAUUAUGGAGAGCAUUAAACGGCUUUACCCCGGCUCAGUGAGACAUAUAAGGAUUCAGAGAGGUGGCACAUUACCCGAGCUGCAGCAGUGCAACAAGUGUUACAGCAAUUCCCAGCAGUUUUCUCCUUGACCAGCAUGUUUAAGCCAGCCAAACUGGUCAAAUUAAAUGACCAAAGUCAUCUUCAAAUCCAAUUCAACAAGGCAGUUGUCUGUGGAGACCGUAGCCUUGGAUGGAACUCUUCCAAAAGUCAGAUGUGAUCUCUGGGGGAGCUAGUGACCUGAAAGCAAAGGCUCGGCAGUGGGACGAGAAAGCUGUGGUCAAACUAAAGGAAAAGAAAGAGAAACUAACAUUGGAGGAAUUGAAGAUGUCAUACGUUUAAAUAAUUUAGGUUUUUCAAUGUUCUCACUUUUUAUGAUUUGGUUAUGAUUACAGGUUGCUUUGGUUUUACUCAAUUUUUACUACACUUUAACCUUUUUAAGAUUUUAUUAAUUUUCAUGACUUUUUCCAGGUUUUGAAAUCACAUUUCCUUAUACAUGCAUGUUUUCCUAGACCGUUGGAAUCUUUUAGGGAGUGUAUUGAAGAUUUAGCGGAGAUGGAUCCAUUUGUCUUUAUUAAAAUCAACAGCAAUAAUACAAACAGCAAUAUCAGUGGCCAAGCCAAAACAGAGUAGUAGUUGAAAAACAGGCAGCAAACAAUCACAAAUAAGGUCCAGGCAAAUGAGGCAGAAACAACAGGCAGGCAGCAAAACAUCAAAAAAGGUAAACAAUCCAGGGUCAUACACAGGCAAGGCAACAGAAACAAUCAAAUGCUCAGAAAUGGGGAUUAUGGGAGAUGGAGUCAGGGGGGAUAAAGUCAAUACUCAGGUCAGGGAGCCCUCUGGUGAUGAGUGGGAAGAACCAAAGAGGCUAGACUCAUGACAAAGUGCAAAUUAAUAUAAGAAAUAUGAUGUCCGCUUAUUUUUAUUUCUUUUUAUUACUUUUAAUUAAUUUUAAACCAUCUUGCGGCCCACUUGGAAGUAAGCUGAUGCCCCUUAGGUUGAGAACCACUAACCUAAAUAUUAACCAAUAGCCACAAUAUCUACUUUUUUUUUUCUUAUGUAUUCUUGAAAUUCAGCUGGACACAUUUCUAUUAACAAAUACAUAUGUUGAUGUGCUUUGCAGAGUUUGAAGCUGCUCGGAAGAGAGCAAAGAAAGCCAAACAGGCGUUUGAGCGUAUCAAGAAGGAGCGGUUUGACUGUUUCAAUGCCUGUUUGAGUCUGUUUCCACCAACAUUGAUGAGAUCUACAAAGCACUGUCACGAAACAGCAGUUCAAAAGUUAAUAAAAACACUCUGAACUCCGAAAUCACUCUCUCUUUUCAAGAGAAAAUCCUUUUAUUCCAGAUGCAACAAAGAUCUGCAAAAAAACUUUAAAAGUAAAUUUGUAUGUUUGUUCUCUAAUUUAAAAAAAUGCAUCUCUGUUCCCUUAUAGCUACA